rnacentral:tmRNA from 1 species
GGGGGUGACAUGGUUUCGACAGGGAAUCAGUGUGGUAGAGAUGCAUGCCGGAGAUGCUAUCCACUCCGUCAACAAGUAGCAAACGCAAAUUAACUGCAAACGAUAACUUACUCUUAGCCGCUUAAUGCGGUUACGGUCAACCUUUCCGUGCCAUCGGGAAAGGAUUGGGCGUC